rnacentral:rRNA from 1 species
CCUACGGGAGGCAGCAGUGGGGAAUAUUGCACAAUGGGCGAAAGCCUGAUGCAGCAACGCCGCGUGAGCGAUGUAGGCCUUCGGGUCGUAAAGCUCUGUCCUCAAAGAAGAUAAUGACGGUACUUUAGGAGGAAGCCCCGGCUAACUACGUGCCAGCAGCCGCGGUAAUACGUAGGGGGCUAGCGUUAUCCGGAAUUACUGGGCGUAAAGGGUGCGUAGGGGGUUUCUUAAGUCAGAGGUGAAAGGCUAGGGCUCAACCGUAGUUAGCCGUUGAAACUGGGAAACUGGAGUGCAGGAGAGGUGUGUGGAAUGCGGGGUGGAGCGGUGAAAUGCAUAGAUAUCGUGAAGAAC